rnacentral:rRNA from 1 species
AGAAUCAACGCUGGCGGCGUGCCUAACACAUGCAAGUCGAACGAGAAAGUGGAGCAAUCCAUGAGUAAAGUGGCGACCGGGUGAGUAACACGUGACUAACCUACCUCCGAGUGGGGAAUAACUCCGGGAAACCGGGGCUAAUACCGCAUAACAUCGCGAGAUCAAAGCAGCAAUGCGCUUGGAGAGGGGGUCGCGGCUGAUUAGCUAGUUGGCGGGGUAAUGGCCCACCAAGGCGAAGAUCGGUAUCCGGCCUGAGAGGGCGCACGGACACACUGGAACUGAAACACGGUCCAGACUCCUACGGGAGGCAGCAGUGGGGAAUUUUGCGCAAUGGGGGAAACCCUGACGCAGCAACGCCGCGUGGAGGAUGAAGCCCCUUGGGGCGUAAACUCCUUUCGACCAAGACGAUAAUGACGGUACUGGUGGAAGAAGCACCGGCUAACUCUGUGCCAGCAGCCGC